UUACGGUCAAAUCACGCUGAAAACACCGGUUCUCGUUCGAUCACCGAAGUUAAGCAUCGUAGAGCCAGGUCAGUACUUAGAUGGGGGACCGCUUGGGAACACCCGGUACUGUAAG